UACGAGGGGAGCAAGCGUUGUUCGGAUUUACUGGGCGUAAAGGGCGCGUAGGCGGCGUGACAAGUCACUUGUGAAAUCUCCGGGCUUAACUCGGAACGGUCAAGUGAUACUGUCGUGCUAGAGUGCGGAAGGGGCAACUGGAAUUCUUGGUGUAGCGGUGAAAUGCGUAGAUAUCAAGAGGAACACCUGCGGCGAAGGCGGGUUGCUGGGCCGACACUGACGCUGAGGCGCGAAAGCUAGGGGAGCGAACGGG
rnacentral:rRNA from 1 species